GCUGUCGUCAGCUCGUGUUGUGAAAUGUUGGGUUAAGUCCCGCAACGAGCGCAACCCUUAUCCUUGUUUGCCAGCGAGUAAUGUCGGGAACUCCAGGGAGACUGCCGGUGAUAAACCGGAGGAAGGUGGGGACGACGUCAAGUCAUCAUGGCCCUUACGAGUAGGGCUACACACGUGCUACAAUGGCGCAUACAGAGGGCGGCCAACUUGCGAAAGUGAGCGAAUCCCAAAAAGUGCGUCGUAGUCCGGAUUGGAGUCUGCAACUCGACUCCAUGAAGUCGGAAUCGCUAGUAAUCGUGGAUCAGAAUGCCACGGUGAAUACGUUCCCGGGCCUUGUACACACCGCCCGUCACACCAUGGGAGUGGGCUGCAAAAGAAGUGGGUAGUUUAACCUUCGGGAGGACGCUCACCACUUUGUGGUUCAUGACUGGGGUGAAGUCGUAACAAGGUAGCGCUAGGGGAACCUGGCGCUGGAUCACCUCCUUA
rnacentral:rRNA from 1 species